AGAGUUUGAUCAUGGCUCAGAACGAACGCUGGCGGCGUGGAUAAGACAUGCAAGUCGAACGAGAUUUUUUCCUGUAGCAAUACAGGGGAAAGCCUAGUGGCGAACGGGUGCGUAACACGUGGGCAAUCUGCCUUAAAGUGGGGGAUAGCUCGGCGAAAGCCGAAUUAAUACCGCAUGUGAUCAGGGGAGACAUCUUCCCAAAAUCAAAAGUGGCGCAAGCUACUGCUUUUUGAGGAGCCCGCGGCCUAUCAGCUAGUUGGCGAGGUAACGGCUCACCAAGGCUUUGACGGGUAGCUGGUCUGAGAGGACGACCAGUCACACUGGAACUGAGACACGGUCCAGACACCUACGGGUGGCAGCAGUCGAGAAUUUUUCUCAAUGGGGGAAACCCUGAAGGAGCGACGCCGCGUGGAGGAUGAAGGUCUUCGGGUUGUAAACUCCUGUCAUUUGGGAACAAGUGUCGGUACCUAACUGCUACCGGCUUGAUAGUACCAGAAGAGGAAGGGACGGCUAACUCUGUGCCAGCAGCCGCGGUAAUACAGAGGUCUCAAGCGUUGUUCGGAUUCAUUGGGCGUAAAGGGUGUGUAGGUGGCGCCGUAAGUCGGGUGUGAAAUUUCGGAGCUUAACUCCGAAACUGCAUUCGAUACUGCGGUGCUUGAGGACUGGAGAGGAGACUGGAAUUCAUGGUGUAGCAGUGAAAUGCGUAGAGAUCAUGAGGAAGACCAGUGGCGAAGGCGGGUCUCUGGACAGUUCCUGACACUGAGACACGAAGGCCAGGGGAGCAAACGGGAUUAGAUACCCCCGUAGUCC
rnacentral:rRNA from 1 species